UUAUGUCUUCUGAAGCAUGUGCAGCCUACGUUUUCUCUCCAACUCUAGCUGGAAAGUAGUGUGAAGAUGAGAAAAAUGGCUGAGCAAAUUACAGAAAUUUGGCUGCCAGACACGUUUUUACUUUUGACCUCACUUCAACUGCAUUUUUCUCCAUGAUGAAGGCCGAACUGACUUUUGUGCAAAACACAAAAGUUGUAACCCUUUGAAUUAGAGUUCCAAUGCUUCAAGAAUCAUCUAAUUUGGAGAUCGGUGGACGGAGAUAUGGUCAAAAU
rnacentral:lncRNA from 1 species